AUACGGAGGGUGCGAGCGUUAAUCGGAAUUACUGGGCGUGAAGUGUACGUAGGCGGUUGGUUAAGUUAGAUGUGAAAGCCCCGGGCUUAACCUGGGAACUGCAUUUAAAACUGGCGAACUAGAGUUGAGUAGAGGGGAGUGGAAUUUCAGGUGUAGCGGUGAAAUGCGUAGAGAUCUGAAGGAACACCAGUGGCGAAGGCGACUCCCUGGACUCGAACUGACGCUGAGGUACGAAAGCGUGGGUAGCAAACGGGAUUAGAAACCCGGGUAGUCC
rnacentral:rRNA from 1 species